GAAAAGAUAAAAAUAAAAUAAAUUAUGUCUUGAACACAUAAAUAACAGGUUAAAGUCCUGUUCUUUUCG
rnacentral:tRNA from 1 species